rnacentral:rRNA from 1 species
UACGGAGGGUGCGAGCGUUAAUCGGAAUUACUGGGCGUAAAGCGCGCGUAGGCGGUUUGAUGAGUCCGUCGUGAAAGCCCUGGGCUUAACCUGGGAAUGGCGGUGGAUACUGUCAAGCUGGAGUGUGGUAGAGGGGAGUGGAAUUUCCGGUGUAGCAGUGAAAUGCGUAGAGAUCGGAAGGAACACCAGUGGCGAAGGCGGCUCCCUGGACCAACACUGACGCUGAGGUGCGAAAGCGUGGGGAGCAAACAGG